GGACUACUAGGGUUUCUAAUCCUGUUUGAUCCCCACGCUUUCGCACCUCAGCGUCAAUAUCGAGCCAGUAAGCCGCCUUCGCCACUGGUGUUCCUGGUAAUAUCUACGAAUUUCACCUCUACACUACCAAUUCCACUUACCUCUCUCGAAUUCAAGACUCCCAGUAUCAAAGGCAGUUCUGAGGUUGAGCCUCAGGAUUUCACCCCUGACUUAAAAGUCCGCCUACGUGCGCUUUACGCCCAGUGAUUCCGAACAACGCUAGCCCCCUUCGUAUUACCGCGGCUGCUGGCAC
rnacentral:rRNA from 1 species